rnacentral:lncRNA from 1 species
UCUCUACAUAAUUUCUCCAGAAUUUGGAAACUAUUUGCACAGAAGCCCCAGGUUUAUCUUGGAAUGUCAACAGGAGAGGAAAUUCACUCAACUCACAGGACAUGAGACUUCACAACCUGCUAAAAAUGGGCUUUUGAGGCCUACCCGUCUAGGAAUAAACUGUCCUUGCCAUGAGAGAUCAGAUGAAACCUGAGACCAGAGAUUCACUUUCUUCUAAAAUGCUUUCUCCAAAAGAUUUUUAAAAAGAAAAGGGGGGAAAUGUGAAAGGAAAAUAUCUUGGCCCCCUCAAGCUGGGAACCACUCAGGGCAAACCUGUCGCCCAUUCUAUUCAAAGUCAUCCCUCUGCUCACAGAGAUAGACGCAUAUUCUGAUUGCCUCCUUUGAAAAGACUGAUCAGAAACUCAAAAGAAUCUCCCAUAGAUCUGUGACCUGGAAACCUGGGGGUGCGAGGGACGGGGUGGGGCGAGGGUUGCUUUGAGUUGUCCCCGCCUUUCUGGACGGAACUAAUGUACUACUUACAUAUAUUGAUUGAUGUCUCAUGUCUCCGUAAAAUGUAUAAACACAUGCCUGUGCCCCGACCACCUUGGACACAUGUCAUCAGGACUUCCUGAGGCUGUGUCACGGGCCCGUCCUCAACCUUGGCAAAAUAAAUUUUCUAAAUUAACUGAG